rnacentral:rRNA from 1 species
AUUGAACGCUGGCGGCAUGCCUUACACAUGCAAGUCGAACGGUAACAGGUUAAGCUGACGAGUGGCGAACGGGUGAGUAAUGUAUCGGAACGUGCCCAGUCGUGGGGGAUAACUGCUCGAAAGAGCAGCUAAUACCGCAUACGACCUGAGGGUGAAAGCGGGGGACCGUAAGGCCUCGCGCGAUUGGAGCGGCCGAUAUCGGAUUAGGUAGUUGGUGAGGUAAAGGCUCACCAAGCCGACGAUCUGUAGCUGGUCUGAGAGGACGACCAGCCACACUGGGACUGAGACACGGCCCAGACUCCGACGGGAGGCAGCAGUGGGGAAUUUUGGACAAUGGGCGCAAGCCUGAUCCAGCCAUGCCGCGUGCGGGGAGAAGGCCUUCGGGUUGUAAACCGCUUUUGUCAGGGAAGAAACGGCUCCUUCUAAUACAGGGGGCUAAUGACGGUACCUGAAGAAUAAGCACCGGCUAACUACGUGCCAGCCGCCGCAGUAACAC